GACGAACGCUGGCGGCGUGCUUAACACAUGCAAGUCGAACGGAAAGGCCCUGCUUUUGUGGGGUGCUCGAGUGGCGAACGGGUGAGUAACACGUGAGUAACCUGCCCUUGACUUUGGGAUAACUUCAGGAAACUGGGGCUAAUACCGGAUAGGAGCUCCUGCUGCAUGGUGGGGGUUGGAAAGUUUCGGCGGUUGGGGAUGGACUCGCGGCUUAUCAGCUUGUUGGUGGGGUAGUGGCUUACCAAGGCUUUGACGGGUAGCCUGCCUGAGAGGGUGACCGGCCACAUUGGGACUGAGAUACGGCCCAGACGCCUACGGGAGGCAGCAGUGGGGAAUAUUGCAGAAUGGGCGGAAGCCUGAUGCAGCAACGCCGCGUGCGGGAUGACGGCCUUCGGGUUGUAAACCGCUUUCGCCUGUGACGAAGCGUGAGUGACGGUAAUGGGUAAAGAAGCACCGGCUAACUACGUG
rnacentral:rRNA from 1 species